rnacentral:rRNA from 1 species
UACGUAGGGUGCGAGCGUUGUCCGGAAUUAUUGGGCGUAAAGAGCUUGUAGGCGGUUUGUCGCGUCUGCCGUGAAAAUCCGGGGCUCAACCCCGGACUUGCGGUGGGUACGGGGCAGACUAGAGUGUGGUAGGGGAGACUGGAAUUCCUGGUGUAGCGGUGAAAUGCGCAGAUAUCAGGAGGAACACCGGUGGCGAAGGCGGGUCUCUGGGCCGUAACUGACGCUGAGGAGCGAAAGCGUGGGGAGCGAACAGG